rnacentral:rRNA from 1 species
AUUGAACGCUGGCGGCAUGCCUUACACAUGCAAGUCGAACGGCAGCACGGGUGCUUGCACCUGGUGGCGAGUGGCGAACGGGUGAGUAAUACAUCGGAACAUGUCCUGUAGUGGGGGAUAGCCCGGCGAAAGCCGGAUUAAUACCGCAUACGAUCUACGGAUGAAAGCGGGGGACCUUCGGGCCUCGCGCUAUAGGGUUGGCCGAUGGCUGAUUAGCUAGUUGGUGGGGUAAAGGCCUACCAAGGCGACGAUCAGUAGCUGGUCUGAGAGGACGACCAGCCAAAACUGGAAUGAGAAAACGCCCCGACUCCUACGGGAGGCCGGAGGUGGGAAUUUUGGGCAAUGGGGGAAAGCCUGAUCCAGGAAAGGCGGGGGGGGUGAGAAGGCCCUUGGGGUGGAAAGGCCCUUUGGUCGGGAAGAAAAUCUUGGGCCUAAAUCGGGCGGGGGAUGACGGUACCGGAAGAAUAAGCACCGGCUAACUACGUG